GACGAACGCUGGCGGCGUGCUUAACACAUGCAAGUCGAACGAUGAAGCUGGAGCUUGCUCCAGUGGAUUAGUGGCGAACGGGUGAGUAACACGUGAGCAAUCUGCCCUUGACUCUGGGAUAACUGCGGGAAACUGUAGCUAAUACCGGAUACGACACCUUGGGGCAUCCCGGGGUGUGGAAAGAAUUUCGGUCAAGGAUGAGCUCGCGGCCUAUCAGCUUGUUGGUGAGGUAAAGGCUCACCAAGGCGACGACGGGUAGCCGGCCUGAGAGGGUGACCGGCCACACUGGAACUGAGACACGGUCCAGACUCCUACGGGAGGCAGCAGUGGGGAGUAUUGCACAAUGGGCGAAAGCCUGAUGCAGCAACGCCGCGUGAGGGAUGACGGCCUUCGGGUUGUAAACCUCUUUUAGCAGGGAAGAAGCGAAAGUGACGGUACCUGCAGAAAAAGCACCGGCUAACUACGUGCCAGCAGCCGCCGCUGUAA
rnacentral:rRNA from 1 species